rnacentral:rRNA from 1 species
UACGGAGGGUGCAAACGUUGCUCGGAAUUACUGGGCGUAAAGGGCGCGUAGGCGGUUCGAUAAGUCCCGUGUGAAAUCCCUCGGCUCAACUGAGGAAUGGCACGGGAAACUGACGGGCUUGAGUUCGGGAGAGGGAAGCGGAAUUCCUGGUGUAGCGGUGAAAUGCGCAGAUAUCAGGAAGAACACCCGUGGCUAAGGCGGUUCUCUAGUACGGUACUGACGCUGAGACGCGAAAGCGUGGGGAGCGAACAGG